AUCCUGGUUUAAUCACCUGAGCAUGCUGCACGCGGUUACCUGUCCAGUCAGAACAAUGAUUGAAGACAAUCCAAUGUCACUCUAAAACAAAUGAGAAUUUUCAACCAAAAAUCUCAGGUAUUGAAUCCAAGUAAACAAUAGACAGGCAUUGAGGUGAUUCCAACUGAAUUAAAGCUUGAUCAUCGCAGCAGCACCUACCUAGGAUUAUAAUAACAGAAGUGGCUGCCUCCCUAAUAAAGCUGGAGUUUCCCCCGGAGUGUCAAGUCUACAGAGUUACAUGAAACAUAAACAUCCACACACAAAACCAGGACCGAUGGUUACUGAGAUGGAGAUACCUCGUCUGUUGUGGGGAGACCUGAGGAUGCCCUACUACCUUCUAUAUAUAGUCCACCCCCUGGAAAAGGAACGUUAGGAAAGGUUAUGUACUGACGUAUGUAAGAGAACGGAAAACACAGGAACCACUUAUACUGUGUUACACACCAGUGUCCAGAGGCCUGGGGAGGAAGGGGAAUGUCGGUCACAUGUCCCCUAUCAGCAAUUAUACUGUGUUACACACCCGUGUCCAGGGGUGGGGAGGAGGGGGAAUGUCGGUCACACGUCCCCUAUCAGCAAUUAUACUGUGUUACACACCAGUGUCCAGAGGCCUGGGGAGGAGGGGGAAUGUCGGUCACACUUCCCUAACAAGGUAGUACGGGAAAGACUUACAAACCGUUGGAGAAAACCUGGAGAAUUUCCACAGGUUGGCAGAAUUCAGGAAUUCAAUUAAGCAGCCGAAGGCCGUCUGUUUCUGCUGAGGAGGGGCACUGUGUUGGCCAUGUUGACAGGACUAUAUACCCACGGGGGUGUUCUCCACUCGUACCCAGGAAGGCUGUCACAGGACUAUAUACCCACGGGGGUGUUCUCCACUCGUACCCGGGAAGGCUGUCAAAGGACUAUAUACCCACGGGGGAGUUCUCCACUAGUACCGGGGAAGGCUGUCACAGGACUAUAUACCCACACGUGUUAUCCGCAGGUAGGCCCUCACACUAGCACUUUUAGUCUGGGGGUUCAGCAGCACACCAGUUUACAUCAAUGACAACCGGUGCCAGUGAUGUCAACAGAAUUUAAGUUUCGGGCACAAAAAUUCCAAGCCAAUCCUAGUUAAGGAUAGAAGUACAGUUAAGGGUAGAAGUCCCAAAUCUGUUCCAGGAG